AUAUUGGAAAUAAAUAAGUCCUUUGUGUUUACAUUUGCAGACCAGUUUACUUUGUUGACAACCAAGAAAGUUGUCUUGGAUUCUUGAAGAACUGCUGUGGUUCUUCAAGGUGACUGAAACAAUAACAUUAAUUUAACUUUUUAUUUUUUGGUGUCCAGCAGUGAUGGCCACCUGACUUGGACCUAAGGCACUUUGGUGCAGGAACCAGCCCUUCACCAGCCCUUCACCAGGUUCUCCUAUUAAAUGGGACAAAGUGUUGACCAGCUGCAGGACAUCGUAGACGCCAUCAGGAAAAGUCCAGAGGACCGACGGCUCAUCAUCUGUGCUUGAAACCCCAAAAACCUGCCCCUCAUGGCCCUGCCCCCCUGCCACGCCCUCUGCCAGCUCUACGUGUGCGAUGGUGAGCUGCGGUGUCAGGUGUACCAGCCAUCAGCGGAUAUCGCCUGCAAUGUAGGGAGACCGGGGCCUGUUGUCACACUUUUUACUCUCUUAUAUAUUUGUUGUAAUCAAUACAUCAUCAGAGGUGUCAAAAGUAUUCACAUUCAUUACUCAGGUAGAAGUAUAGAUACUAGAGUUUAAAAAUA